rnacentral:rRNA from 1 species
AUUGAACGCUGGCGGCAUGCUUUACACAUGCAAGUCGAACGGUAACAGGGGAGCUUGCUCCCGCUGACGAGUGGCGAACGGGUGAGUAAUGCAUCGGAACGUGCCGAAUAGUGGGGGAUAACGCACCGAAAGGUGUGCUAAUACCGCAUACGCCCUGAGGGGGAAAGUGGGGGACCGCAAGGCCUCACGCUAAUCGAGCGGCCGAUGUCGGAUUAGCUAGUUGGUGGGGUAAAGGCUCACCAAGGCGACGAUCCGUAGCGGGUCUGAGAGGAUGAUCCGCCACACUGGGACUGAGACACGGCCCAGACUCCUACGGGAGGCAGCAGUGGGGAAUUUUGGACAAUGGGGGAAACCCUGAUCCAGCCAUGCCGCGUGUCUGAAGAAGGCCUUCGGGUUGUAAAGGACUUUUGUCCGGGAGGAAACCCUGAUCGUUAAUAGCGGUCGGGACUGACAGUACCGGAAGAAUAAGCACCGGCUAACUACGUGCCAGCCGCCGCAGUAAGAC